UACGGAGGGUGCAAGCAUUAAUCGGAUUCAUUGGGCGUAAAGGGGGCGUAGGCGGAAAUGCAAGCCAGAUGUGAAAUCCCGGGGCUCAACCCCGGAACUGCAUUUGGAACUACAUUUCUAGAGGAUAGGCGGAGAAAACGGAAUUCCACAUGUAGCGGUGAAAUGCGUAGAUAUGUGGAAGAACACCGGUGGCGAAGGCGGUUUUCUAGCUUAUUCCUGACGCUGAGGCCCGAAAGCUAGGGGAGCAAACAGG
rnacentral:rRNA from 1 species